rnacentral:lncRNA from 1 species
AGGAUCUCAGGAGAUGUGGAGGCUGGAGGCACAGGAGGCCAGGGAGGAGGGAGAAGCCUGGCGUCGCACUCCCACCACGCUGGGGUAGGAGGGCAGGGACACCUCCGACAAAGGACCCUGUGAGAGUUAUGAAAGCGGAGUUGCCUCUGUACCAGCCCCCCACCCUGAGAGGAGUUCACUGCAGUAAAAAUGGUGAGAGAAAUGGUGGGCCAAGAAAGGAGUGGUCUCGCUGCCUCUGCCACUCCCACUCCUCCCAUGGGCACCAAAUUGGGUCUAGCGUCUCGGGUUCGAGGCUCCACUCUUCCCACAGCAUCCUUGACAGCUAAGGGCACCGCUGGGUUUCCGCUUCCGAAACCAGGCAAGUCAGGGGCUGGUCCAGCUGAUCUCCAAGGUCCUUCCUAAGAAUCUGGGAUCUGGAGGAUCCCAGGGUCGAACGGAGACGGCUCAGGGGGUGCGGCUAAAAUGCAAAUGGGGGAUCCUCCCCAGCACCCAUCGGUCCCAAAGAGAAGGUAACCCAUAGCUGAGCGUCGCCUGCUCCCCUCGGGCCCUCCCGUGGCCCUCCGUUUCAUACUGGUCUCAUC